rnacentral:rRNA from 1 species
GACGAACGCUGGCGGCGUGCCUAAUACAUGCAAGUAGAACGCUGAAGGAGGAGCUUGCUUCUCUGGAUGAGUUGCGAACGGGUGAGUAACGCGUAGGUAACCUGCCUGGUAGCGGGGGAUAACUAUUGGAAACGAUAGCUAAUACCGCAUAAUAGUAGAUGUUGCAUGACAUUUGCUUAAAAGGUGCAAUUGCAUCACUACCAGAUGGACCUGCGUUGUAUUAGCUAGUUGGUGGGGUAACGGCUCACCAAGGCGACGAUACAUAGCCGACCUGAGAGGGUGAUCGGCCACACUGGGACUGAGACACGGCCCAGACUCCUACGGGAGGCAGCAGUAGGGAAUCUUCGGCAAUGGACGGAAGUCUGAACGAGCAACGCCGCGUGAGUGAAGAAGGGUGUCGGAUCGUAAAGCUCUGUUGUAAGAGAAGAACGAGUGUGAGAGUGGAAAGUUCACACUGUGACGGUAGCUUACCAGAAAGGGACGGCUAACUACGUG